rnacentral:rRNA from 1 species
UGGGGAAUAUUGGACAAUGGGCGCAAGCCUGAUCCAGCUAUGCCGCGUGAGUGAAGAAGGCCUUAGGGUUGUAAAGCUCUUUCGCCCGCGAAGAUAAUGACGGUAGCGGGAGAAGAAGCCCCGGCUAACUCCGUGCCAGCAGCCGCGGUAAUACGGAGGGGGCUAGCGUUGUUCGGAAUUACUGGGCGUAAAGCGUACGUAGGCGGAUGCGCAAGUUGGGGGUGAAAUCCCGGGGCUUAACCUCGGAAUUGCCCUCAAAACUGCACGUCUUGAGACCGAGAGAGGUAAGGGGAAUUCCUAGUGUAGAGGUGAAAUUCGUAGAUAUUAGGAAGAACACCAGUGGCGAAGGCGCCUUACUGGCUCGGUACUGACGCUGAGGUACGAAAGCGUGGGGAGCAAACA